rnacentral:rRNA from 1 species
AUUGAACGCUGGCGGCAGGCCUAACACAUGCAAGUCGAACGCGUGGCGGACGUGUGAGUAAUGUCUGGGAAACUGCCUGAUGGAGGGGGAUAACUACUGGAAACGGUAGCUAAUACCGCAUACCAUCAGAUGUGCCCAGGCGGGAUUAGCUAGUGGGUGGGGUAAUGGCUCACCUAGGCGACGAUCCCUAGCUGGUCAGAGAGGAUGACCGGCCACCCUGGAACUGAGACACGGUCCAGACCCCUACGGGAGGCAGCAGUGGGGAAUAUUGCACAAUGGGCGAAAGCCUGACGCAGCCAGGCCGCGUGUGUGAAGAAGGCCUUCGGGUUGUAAAGCACUUUCAGCGAGGAGGCGUUACUCGCAGAAGAAGCACCGGCUAACUCCGUGCCAGCAGCCGCGGUAAUAC